rnacentral:rRNA from 1 species
AGAGUUUGAUCCUGGCUCAGGAUGAACGCUAGCUACAGGCUUAACACAUGCAAGUCGAGGGGCAGCAUGGUCUUAGCUUGCUAAGACUGAUGGCGACCGGCGCACGGGUGAGUAACACGUAUCCAACCUGCCGUCUACUCUUGGACAGCCUUCUGAAAGGAAGAUUAAUACAAGAUGGCAUCAUGAGUCCGCAUGUUCACAUGAUUAAAGGUAUUCCGGUAGACGAUGGGGAUGCGUUCCAUUAGAUAGUAGGCGGGGUAACGGCCCACCUAGUCUUCGAUGGAUAGGGGUUCUGAGAGGAAGGUCCCCCACAUUGGAACUGAGACACGGUCCAAACUCCUACGGGAGGCAGCAGUGAGGAAUAUUGGUCAAUGGGCGAGAGCCUGAACCAGCCAAGUAGCGUGAAGGAUGACUGCCCUAUGGGUUGUAAACUUCUUUUAUAAAGGAAUAAAGUCGGGUAUGCAUACCCGUUUGCAUGUACUUUAUGAAUAAGGAUCGGCUAACUCCGUGCCAGCAGCCGCGAUAAUACGGAGGAUCCGAGCGUUAUCCGGAUUUAUUGGGUUUAAAGGGAGCGUAGAUGGAUGUUUAAGUCAGUUGUGAAAGUUUGCGGCUCAACCGUAAAAUUGCAGUUGAUACUGGAUAUCUUGAGUGCAGUUGAGGCAGGCGGAAUUCGUGGUGUAGCGGUGAAAUGCUUAGAUAUCACGAAGAACUCCGAUUGCGAAGGCAGCCUGCUAAGCUGCAACUGACAUUGAGGCUCGAAAGUGUGGGUAUCAAACAGGAUUAGAUACCCUGGUAGUCCACACGGUAAACGAUGAAUACUCGCUGUUUGCGAUAUACGGCAAGCGGCCAAGCGAAAGCGUUAAGUAUUCCACCUGGGGAGUACGCCGGCAACGGUGAAACUCAAAGGAAUUGACGGGGGCCCGCACAAGCGGAGGAACAUGUGGUUUAAUUCGAUGAUACGCGAGGAACCUUACCCGGGCUUAAAUUGCAGAUGAAUUACGGUGAAAGCCGUAAGCCGCAAGGCAUCUGUGAAGGUGCUGCAUGGUUGUCGUCAGCUCGUGCCGUGAGGUGUCGGCUUAAGUGCCAUAACGAGCGCAACCCUUGUUGUCAGUUACUAACAGGUUCUGCUGAGGACUCUGACAAGACUGCCAUCGUAAGAUGUGAGGAAGGUGGGGAUGACGUCAAAUCAGCACGGCCCUUACGUCCGGGGCUACACACGUGUUACAAUGGGGGGUACAGAGGGCCGCUACCACGCGAGUGGAUGCCAAUCCCCAAAACCUCUCUCAGUUCGGACUGGAGUCUGCAACCCGACUCCACGAAGCUGGAUUCGCUAGUAAUCGCGCAUCAGCCACGGCGCGGUGAAUACGUUCCCGGGCCUUGUACACACCGCCCGUCAAGCCAUGGGAGCCGGGGGUACCUGAAGUGCGUAACCGCGAGGAGCGCCCUAGGGUAAAACUGGUGACUGGGGCUAAGUCGUAACAAGGUA